rnacentral:rRNA from 1 species
GUGCCAGCCGCCGCGGUAAUACGGAGGGUGCAAGCGUUAUCCGGAAUCAUUGGGUUUAAAGGGUCCGCAGGCGGGCGUAUAAGUCAGUGGUGAAAUCCUGCAGCUUAACUGCAGAACUGCCAUUGAUACUGUACGUCUUGAAUUCGGUCGAAGUGGGCGGAAUGUGUAGUGUAGCGGUGAAAUGCAUAGAUAUUACACAGAACACCGAUAGCGAAGGCAGCUCACUAGGCCUGGAUUGACGCUCAGGGACGAAAGCGUGGGGAUCAAACAGGAUUAGAUACCCUGGUAGUCCACGCUGUAAACGAUGAUUACUCGUUUUCGGCGAUAUACUGUCGGAGACUAAGCGAAAGUGAUAAGUAAUCCACCUGGGGAGUACGAUCGCAAGGUUGAAACUCAAAGGAAUUGGCGGGG